GACGAACGCUGGCGGCGUGCUUAACACAUGCAAGUCGAACGGAAAGGCCCUUCGGGGUCCUCGAGUGGCGAGCGGGUGAGUAACACGUGGGUGAUCUGCCCUGCACUUUGGGAUAAGCCUGGGAAACUGGGUCUAAUACCGAAUAGGACCACGCGCUUCAUGGUGUGUGGUGGAAAGCUUUUGCGGUGUGGGAUGGGCCCGCGGCCUAUCAGCUUGUUGGUGGGGUAAUGGCCUACCAAGGCGACGACGGGUAGCCGGCCUGAGAGGGUGACCGGCCACACUGGGACUGAGAUACGGCCCAGACUCCUACGGGAGGCAGCAGUGGGGAAUAUUGCACAAUGGGCGCAAGCCUGAUGCAGCGACGCCGCGUGAGGGAUGACGGCCUUCGGGUUGUAAACCUCUUUCACCAGGGACGAAGCGUAAGUGACGGUACCUGGAGAAGAAGCACCGGCCAACUACGUG
rnacentral:rRNA from 1 species